UACAGAGGGGGCAAGCGUUGUUCGGAAUUACUGGGCGUAAAGGGCGCGUAGGCGGCCUUCUAAGUCGAACGUGAAAUCCCCGGGCUUAACCUGGGAAUGGCGAUGGAGACUGCAAGGCUAGAGUUUGGCAGAGGGGGGUAGAAUUCCACGUGUAGCAGUGAAAUGCGUAGAGAUGUGGAGGAACACCGAUGGCGAAGGCAGCCCCCUGGGUCAAAACUGACGCUCGAUGCACGAAAGCGUGGGGAGCAAACAGG
rnacentral:rRNA from 1 species